CUCUCUGUUUUCGAUAGUUUGGGCAGUUGGUCCAAGGGAUUUGGCCGAAGAAGCUCGCGAUAUGGAGAAAGUCACCUUCACAGCUAGCGGGCUCCCUUCGUUUCUUCCGAUCAAAAUGUUGUAACUUCCUGUUCAACGUCAGGUCCAACGUCAAGGGACCGUCGUUGAAGGAGGUGAAGAUUAGGGUGCCCCUCUCUCUCUCUCUCUCUCUCUCUCUCUCGCGGCUUGCAUGAGAGGUCGGCACAGGCAAGGGCUUCAACGGGAUAAGGGAUUUGGCCGUGGUUCGAAGCAAGAGGAAGGAAGUUUGGUUGGGGCCCUAGAUUGAAGAGAAAUCGGGUGACUUCGACACAAGAGCAGGCGACAACUAGGUCAGUGGGUUCAGAUGGAAGAGGCGGAGCGUAGAUGACGGGCUUGAGGAUUUUGGGAUUUCGGUUUGGGAUUUCGAUUGCAAGGUAAGGAGAAGGCGUCAGAGGCUUCGGCUUCUGAAGUUCGGCAGUGGGAUGGAGAUUUGGGGGAGGUCUGAGCUAACAGUGGGGUUUGGCUGAUGUCGAAGUGCUUGCGGGAUUUCUACGUGUGGGAAGCGAAGAAGAAUAAAGGGCUUCAUUUGGCUCAGCAUUUAACGACGCCAAUGUGGGAUUGAGGCAUGCGCGAAUGAUAUCUUCUGAGACAGCGCCGAAUCGCAGAGGGAUUCUGAGCAGGAAUUUGAGAUGAGUGGCAGAGGUGAUGGGCCAACAAAGGGCAAUGCACACAAGUAGUAUGGAACCAUCCAAUGUGGACAGCAUGAUAAGCAUGGGCAAUGGUUGGCCCAAGGCCAAGGAGUCAAGUUAUUUUAUACUUUUUUACUAUAGUAAACCUUGCUUACAUGGCCUUUUGUUGUUAAUUGACUUGAGUUUUUUUUUUUAAUUUAAAAAAAGAGUUUUAUUAAAUUGUAAUAUUGUAUUCUAACAAAAGAAUUUAUGAUUUUUGUGUGUUCAACUAUUGCAAAAAGAAUUUUUGCUCAGAAUUCAAUGAAAUUUGAAUUUUUAUAUCAA